rnacentral:rRNA from 1 species
UACAGAGACCUCAAGCGUUAUCCGGAAUCAUUGGGCGUAAAGCGUACCGAUAGGUGGUUUUGCCAGUCAGAGGUGAAAUCUCCGAGCUCAACUCGGAAUCUGUCCUUUGAAACUGCACAACUAGAGGGGCAAAGAGGAAGCUGGAACGAACGGUGUAGUAGUGAAAUGCGUUGAUAUCGUUCGGAACACCAAUAGCGUAGGCAGGCUUCUGGGUGCCACCUGACACUGCUAGGACGAAAGCGUGGGGAGCGAAUGGG